rnacentral:snRNA from 19 species
AUACUUACCUUGUUUCGAAUACCCCAGUUCAAGAUUCGGGGUAUUCAGUUGGGAAGGCCUGCAUUGCACAGCGCGGAGUCGUUCCUUGCUCCAUUGUCCUUCGGGGCCAUGGGAGGCGCAAUUUUUGAUAUAUCCACUCCGUUUUCAUUGUGAC